CCCCUCUCUGCCUUCCCGUAAGAAGCGAUGCCAGUACAGGCCAUUCAACAACGACGAUGCCGAUUCAAACAAUCCCACAAGUUCUCAUUCAGACACAGGACUGCCGGCUUUGCUGAUGCUGAUAAUUCAUGGUGACUACAUAAGAGCGGGUGGUCCUUACUGCAGACACCAGUUUCGUAAUACGUGUGUCCUGGACUCAAUCCUGGCUGCUUUUCACGUUUGUUACAUUAAAUUCCAAAAUGUACGAUUGCUUUUAGAAUCUAACGCCACAUUCAAAGUCAUGAUGUCUUAUUUAAAUGCAGCAAACUAUGAGGACGCAAAAGGCCUAUGGCUGCGAUCGCUGAUAAAGUUUGAUAAAAUUAUUAUUGACAUUUUGGGCACUGUGAAAGAUCAUUUUCCAGUGCUUGCUAAACUGGUGUGUGCUGAAGUCGACUACUUCCAAGAAACACCUGAUGACAGUCCUGUAUAUCAAACAACAAUGAGCAAAUUUCGUGCACUUGGUGACUUGAAGGCUUUGGGCCGUGCAGAUGAUCCCACAAUGAUCCUGGUUGUUCCUAAGGUUGUGAAUCUGCCCCUGCUUGUUGAAGAUGAAAUCAAAAGGACCUUUAAGCUUCAGUUUUUGCUGCUUGGUAAAGAGAAUCACAUGGUCAUGUGUUUCAACUUCUUAGAGAACCUGUGGAUCCUCUAUGAUAACAAUCCAGCGUUGAGGUCUUUUUGUCCUUUCAACUUAGAGGAUCGGAACCGUUAUAUGAUCUGCUGGGCUGGCUACAUCAAUACGACACAAGCUGACGUGCAAAAUAAUGCCUCUCCUGAGACUGGAGUAGGAGCACAACCUUUCAACUGUGGUUCAUUCGGACAGCAAGAGGAUCCUGAAGAGUUCAUGAAAGAGAUACUGGCGAGUUUGGGAGCUCUAGCUUGUGACAGCUCUGGCUCGGAAUAAUGUUCUAAAUCAGAAGUACGCAUCAAAAAACACUGUCUGUGAUUAUAUGAAGUAUAGUUUAUAGUGUAUUUCACUGCAAUAGCAUUAGGACUCCUGGUUGUAACAUGUUUCUUUAUUUGUAUCUGCUGCUGCCUUGUGUUUUUGUGUUUUUCUGUGCGUAGUAUUACUUUUUGCCACCAGAGUAUAUGCUACCAUGCCCAGACCAAUCCAGUAACUUCUGUUAGCCUGUUAGCUUUGUUACAUUUUAUAAAUUUCAGAAAAUAAGGAGUGAGAGCCAUUCUAAGAGGGAGUUAGGGAGGUUUGUGUAUUUUAGUUUAUUUUGUUUCAGAAUUAGGUAGUUGUUUAUCAUUAGAUUUUGUUUGAUGUUCAGACCUGAUGUCAUAUUUUCUACACUAAUUAACUGGUUUACACAGUAAUUACUGUCCUGUGUUUGGUCUGGAUGGGGGUCCAGGAAGAGACUGCACUCUCUCUUUCUCUAUUUAUUGCAGAUCAUAACAAUAGUAUGUUUAAAAUGGUACAAUGCACCACUUGUUUCUACAUUAUAAUACAGUAUAAUUACUUUUUAAGGUAGCACUUUCACUGUAUUUAUUGUUCAGUAUUGUCCAGCUUUUGUGAAAACCUUCUGAAGUGGAUCUCAGACCCUGUUCCGUUCAGUUUGUUGGUUUUGUUUGUUUAAAUACCUCUUUAGAAUGUUUGCACAUUGCCUAAUUGUGAAAUUUUACUAGUUUCAAUGUAAACACAUUUCUCAUGUACAAUACACAAGUGUUGCAUAAUGCCUAUUAAAUGUACAGUAUUUACACAUUUCUCUUUUUAAUGAAUGUAAUAAAAAUAAAUAAGAAGAGAUCUGGACA
rnacentral:lncRNA from 1 species